GUGGAAGGGAGGUAACAUUUGAUCAGUGCCACAGCUAAAUCAGUUUACAAGACAAAAUCAAAGGAAAAAGAAGGUUGGACAGACAGACUGAGGAUUUCUCAAAGGGUUAAGAUCCUGUUCUGUGUACUCAUGACUAGAAUGACUAUCUGUACAAGUGCUUUUAGUGGUGCUUUCUGUAAAAGAGUUCAUUAAAAAAAAAAAAAAAAAGGCCAUCAAAAAAAUCAAGCCAAAAUGAUGACGUGAUGAAAUGGAGCCAGUCAACAGAACAGAGCAGGAACAAACUUGGAAGCAGCUGACUCCCUGGAGUGACGUCUUCAUUUCAAGGAAAGAAGGAACUUCAUGCACUCAGUAAGUGAUAAACAAAUCAUAAGUGAACAACAUUACAAGGGUCUCAAAUAGCAAAAUGCCUCAUGAUAGUGUCAAAGAAAUCAAAGGCAAUGUCCAGUUAUUCUCAAACCAUGUGUGACAGCCAGCCUGGUAGAGAAGAAAGAAAUGGCACGUAAAUAUGUGAAUCUUUCUGCCAACCUGUAACCUAAAUCACAGUCUGCCGUGUACUCUUGGUUGAACUUGGGUACCUCAGGUAUCUGAUUACCUGCUCAUCUUUUUUAAAAAAGGCAAU